UACGAGGGGGGCAAGCGUUAUUCGGUAUCACUGGGCUUAAAGGGUGCGUAGGCGGCUUUGCAAGUUGGGUGUGAAAGCCCUCGGCUCAACCGAGGAAUUGCGCUCAAUACUGCCGAGCUCGAGAGAGACAGAGGUAAGCGGAACUGAUGGUGGAGCGGUGAAAUGCGUUGAUAUCAUCAGGAACACCGGUGGCGAAGGCGGCUUACUGGGUCUUUUCUGACGCUGAGGCACGAAAGCCAGGGGAGCGAACGGGG
rnacentral:rRNA from 1 species